rnacentral:rRNA from 1 species
GGCCGCGGGAAUUCGAUUCAGGCCUAACACAUGCAAGUCGAACGCCCCGCAAGGGGAGUGGCAGACGGGUGAGUAACGCGUGGGAAUCUACCCAGAUCUACGGAACAACAGUUGGAAACGACUGCUAAUACCGUAUACGCCCUACGGGGGAAAGAUUUAUCGGAUUUGGAUGAGCCCGCGUAAGAUUAGCUAGUUGGUGGGGUAAUGGCCUACCAAGGCGACGAUCUUUAGCUGGUCUGAGAGGAUGAUCAGCCACACUGGGACUGAGACACGGCCCAGACUCCUACGGGAGGCAGCAGUGGGGAAUAUUGGACGAUGGGCGCAAGCCUGAUCCAGCCAUGCCGCGUGAGAAAAGGAGGCCUUAGGGUUGUAAAGCUCUUUCAGUAGGGAAGAUAAUGACG